CUACGGGUUGCUGCAGUAGGGAAUAUUGCACAAUGGACGAAAGUCUGAUGCAGCAACGCCGCGUGCACGAAGAAGGCCUUCGGGUUGUAAAGUGCUUUUGGCGGGGAAGAGGAAGGACAGUACCCGCAGAAUAAGCUUCGGCUAACUACGUGCCAGCAGCCGCGGUAACACGUAGGAAGCGAGCGUUAUCCGGAUUUACUGGGCGUAAAGCGCGUGCAGGCGGUUAUGUAAGUUGGAUGUGAAAGCUCCUGGCUUAACUGGGAGAGGUCGUUCAAAACUGCGUAACUGGAGUGCGAAAGAGGGAGGUAGAAUUCCGAGUGUAGUGGUGAAAUGCGUAGAUAUUCGGAGGAAUACCAGAGGCGAAGGCGGCCUCCUGGUUCGCAACUGACGCUGAGACGCGAAAGCUAGGGUAGCAAACGGGAUUAGAUACCCGGGUAGUC
rnacentral:rRNA from 1 species